rnacentral:misc_RNA from 1 species
AACGCACCUUGCGCUCUCUGGUAUUCCGGAGAGCAUGCCUGUUUGAGUGUCAUGAACUCUUCAACCCACCGGUUCCUUGUUGAACCGAGUUGGUGUUUGGAUUUUGAGUGUUGCUUUUAAUUAAGCUCAUUCGUAAUACAUUAGCAUCUCAAUUUCGUAAUCGGAUUGACUCAGCGUAAUAGACUAUUCGCUGAGGACACUUUUUACUAAGUGGCCGAGAAUGAAAAGUUAGAAGCUUCCAACUCUUCUAGUCAUCUUUAGAUUAGACCUCAGAUCAGGCAGGAUUACCCGCUGAACUUAA